rnacentral:lncRNA from 9 species
ACCACAAGUCUAUUCUCCAAGUGCAUGAGUUCCUUUAGGUGGAAAGGUUCCUUUGGGCUGUAUAUGAGACUCCUCAUAUGAGUGAUGUCGUAUGGUAGUCGUCCUUCUCUUUCGGACUUCCUUCACUCAGGAUGAGAGGGUCUCGUUCCACCCAUGUUGCUGCAGAUGGCAUUAGGGGUGCUCUGUUUUAUGGCGCAGGAGUAUUCCAUUGUGUGUAUAUACCGCGUCCUCUUUGGCUCUUAAUUGUUAUUUCCCCGAUACAAUCUUGUUUUCUACUGUACAACGUGGUGACCCAGUUACACAUACCUGUAGGCAUUCUAUGUUCUCACAUUAUCAUGCUCCGUCAAACGUGACUAGACAUUGUACCCAGCGCUACACAGCAGGAUCUCAUUGCUAAUCCAUUCCCAAGGCAAUAGUGGGCAGGCAUUAACCCCAAGCUCCCCAUCCACCCCACUCCCUCCCCUCCCCUCCCCCUUGGCCACCACAAGUCUAUUCUGCAAGUCCAUGAGUUGCUUUUCUGUGGAAAGGUUCAUUUGUGCCGUAUAUGAGAUUCCAGAUAUAAGUGUGUGGUAUCCUCUUCUGGAAUGGAUCCCUUAACCGUGAACUAGUGUCCUUCUUUGCCUUUCUCGAUGGCCUUCGUUUUAAAGGCGAUUUUGUUGGAUAUGAGCAGCGCUACUCCUGAUCUCCUGUCUUGUCCAUUGGCAUGAAAUAUCUUUUCACAUCCCCUCCCUUUCAAUCUAUACGUGUCCUUUGCCCUCGGGUGAGCUUGUCUAGGCAGCAGAUUGAAGGUUUUUGCUUUGGUACCCAAUCUGGCACUCUGUGUCUUUUGAUGGCAGCAUUCGGUCCCAGAACAAUUCAGGUGGUCAUUGAUAGAUGUUUCUUGAUUGCCAUUUGAAGCCUUGUUUUCCCGUUGAGUCUAUGUUUCUCUUUUCUUCUUUCUUUUCCUUUGAGUGGAUGGGUUCCGUUGAUUCUCUGCUGGAGUCCUUUCCUUUUCCGAUUUUUGAAUGUAGUGUUGGCUUUUGGAUUGGGGUUGCCCUGUUUUGUUGUUAUGUUAACCCCUUCGUAUGUCUGCUCACUUUAGCCUGACCGUUACAUAGGACCAAACGCGUCAUUGAAACAAGACAAAGGAUCUACAUUUUCUUCCAUUCCUCGCCCUCAUUGUAUGAUUUGAUGUAGUUUAUUUCAUUUUAUGUUUUUGACAUCUUCAUGGUUAGAUCUGUAUGCUGGCUUCUCUAAGUCACUGCUUUCCAAUGGUUUUUUUCUUUUUUCUUUUUUUGAAUUGGAGAAGCCUUAGAGUAUUUCUUUCAGAAUGGGUUUUGUAUUGCAGUACUCUUUCAGUGUUGGUUUGUUGGAGAAAUUCUUGAUUUCCCCUUCGAUUUGAAAUGAUAGUCUUGCUGGAUAGGGUAUUUGGAGGAGGCAGAUUAUUUGUUCUUUCUUUCAAUGGGUCUCGCCACCCCCUUCUGGCCUGGAGUGUUUCUGUAGAGAAAACUGCUGAUAACCUUAUUGGGGUUCCCUCAUCAUGAAUGCCUUGCUUUUCUCUUGCUGCCUUUGGCCUCCUCCCUUUCUGUUUACCUUUGGCCAUAUUUAUCAGAAUAGGUCUUGCUGCGUGCCUGUUUGGGUUCAACUUGUUUGGGGCUCUCUGUCCUUCCCGUAUCUUGCUAUCACUCUCCUGUAGUUGUUGCUUUAAAACCUCGAUUGCAGGACUCCCUGUUGUGGUGCCCUGGAAACUGGCAAUGGCCCCUGCCCCUCUCCCCCAGCCACAAGGACCAGACCCUCCCUUUGGCUGAUGACAUGAGGAGAUUUCCCACCAGAUGGCCCAGCCCUGAGCGCACUAACUCUAGGAAGUCCCAGCCACUCUGUUUCUAAGCCCACUGACCCCCUGAGCAAGACCGGCUGCCUCCAACAGGCCUGGGUAUGGGCAUCUUCUGAAAAGGCUCAACCAAGACCUUGAGAGAACACCAGAUGUCUAAAGGAAUGAGAAAGGAAGAGGGUCCCGGUUAGGGGUGUGCUGGUGCAGCCCAGGGCCUUGCCAGAGCUGAGGUCUGCAGGGGCUUGAGCUGGCCAGGCUCCACUCCCACACCAGCUCUCUUGGGCCCUGUUGGUACCUAUGUCCCUUCUCGGCCUUGGACAGUGCCUUCUUCUGGACCUCCAGGGGUUCUCCAGGCUCAGAGUCCCAUCUGCUGAUAGAUUGAAACCUGUGAUUGUCCUGAGGGUCAGUCAGGAGCUUCCUCCAUCAGGACGCCCGUGCCUGCCUGCAUGGCUUACACAGGCUCAUCAGCCAUGGGAUGCCAGGCUUUGGAACUUCCCAGAAGUACAACUGAGUGACCGUGCAUGGCAGAGACUCCUCUGACCUAGCUCUGUUGCUUGCAGCCUAAGUCCCCUGUCCUCCGGAGGGUGGUCCCAGGGGGUGCCCUCAUCUGUGACCUCCCUUUUUCAGGGUGUCUCGUGGGGAUGGCCCGCUGGGGCUUAGACGGCUGACACGCCCCCUACCCCAGCAUCUUCACCAAUAUCACCUGCUUCUCCCAUGGGACCGAUGAGAUCCAGAAGCACAUGCCUCUCCCUGAGCCCACGGUCCCUCCUCCUCACACCCAGGUCCCAUCGCAGUCUCUGCAGGCUGCUGGCUCUCCUGGGCCUGGCACAGGCUUUGUGCCCCCAGAGACUGGCCCCUGCUGCUGUCCAUGCUCGAGGUCCUGCAGCAGGCCUGGUGCAGACCCCCCAAGCUCCUGUGCUCCUGUCUCUGCCUCAGACUCCAGUCUCCAUUUGGCAAACAGCCACCCCUCCCCCACCAGCUCCAUCAGCUUUCCAGGGCCCCAUCUUGGCCUUCCUGUGCCACAGUGGCCACCCCACAAACCAAGCCUGCAAUCUCCAAUAACCAAAGGAAAGUCUCCUCCUGCUGCUGCUUGGGCCCUACGCCCUCCUGUCGUCCUCCUUCUUCUUUGGGUCCUCCAUCUGACUCCUGGACAAGGGAGAGGACAUGAGAGGGAGAGUGUCCAGGAGGAAGGUAGGAGUGGGGAUGCUGGUGGAGCCCAGCUGGGGCAGAGAGGGUGUCUUCCCUGAGACUCCUUCCUGCCUGGAGUGCCCAGCCUUCAGAGGAAUCGUCAGCUCCAGCUGCCAUCACCAAUCCCAGGCAAUGGGCUUGAAUAACAAGAAUGUAUCAACUCACCGUUUCGGAGCCCAGCCUUCUGAGAUCCCGGUAUAAACCAGCUGGGUUGGCCCUGAGGCCUCUCUCCUUGGAUUCCAGAUGCCCAUCUCCGGCCUGCGCCCUCACAUCAGCUCCCUCUGUGGGACUCAGGGUCUAAAUUUGCCCUUUCUAUAGGGGCACCCAUCCUAUUGUAUUAGGGGCCACCUUAGUGACCUGAUUUCAGCUCUUUCUGUACAAACUCUGCUGCAGGGCUUGCGGGGUGUUGCCCUGGAACUGAACCCGAGAAGGAACCAGGAGUGUUCAGGUUCGAUCCCUGGCCUCGCUCAGGAAGGGAAGGAUCCAAUGUGGCCAUGAGCUGUGGUGUAGGUCUCAGACCCGGCUUGGAUGUGGCAUUGCGGUGGCUGUGGUGUAGGCCGGCUGCCAAAGCUCCGAUCGAUCGAUGGAUCGUUCGGAUGCCAAGCCUGGGAACUUCCAUAUGCCGCCCCAGCAGCCCCAUCCAAACAAACAAACGUAGGCAAUGGAAAGACAAAGAAAAGACUGCUCCACCUAAGGUCAUGUUCGGAGGUCCUGGGGGAGAAGCCUUCCACAUAUGAACUUCGGGUAAUAGAGCUGUAGCCCCUUUUGGCAGGUGUCUCCAGUGCCAGGGAUGAAGGGUCUUUUGGAAAGUAAAGGAACAUCAGUCCUGGGGUUGGGAUGAAGGAGGAUCGACUCCCCAAAGUGAGGGAGGGACGUUUCCAGAGUGCAGGGCACUCGAGCCGGAUCAGAGCCCAUGACCCAAGGCCAUGGGCAGGGGGUUCCAGCCCGUGGCAUAUAAGGCUCUUGAAGGAACGGAGUCUAGGCGACUGAGAGGGAAGCUGAGAGAGGAGCUCCAGCGCCAGGCUGUGAGAUGAGGUCCAGGCCUCACAGCACUCUGCUCCUACAUUGGAUUCCCAGCACCCUCUUUCAGCAUGCCCACGGCCCCGCUCUCCAUAGCCUGAAGGGGAACAACUCACUGCCCACCUUUCUGGCCCCCACCCCCACAUGAACACCUGCCUUCGGUCCAAGGGCCCCAGCCAGCCUGGCCCAAGGGGUCCACACCUCCAGCACUUGGAGCCUGAUGUCUCCUUUUCAGCUUAGCUGGCUCAGGCCAACCCGAGGGAGUUCCUGGAAGCAGUGUUGUUGCAAUCCUUCCUGCCCUCUGCCUGACCCAGUGUUCUCAUGUAGCCAGCAGGAUCCCGGGAAGCCUCACAGUGGACCCAGCCUUCAGGACUCACAGUGCUAUGGUGGGUGACCUAUCUCUUCCUAACGUUUGCCCAUUUUCUGGUGGAAUAGGUCCCGCUGUUAUGGUCGUGUCUUGGCAGUGCCUUAUUCCCUCGAGACACCAGACUUGGGUCAGAUGUGUGGUUGGCAGGUAGUUUCUCCAAACCUGUAGCUUCUUUUCAGCUAGGAAAAUGUUUCCAUGUGAUGAGGUCCGUUUUCUGUCUGGGGUAGGGUUUUGGCUGUCAUGGGGAAGAACGCUUAUCUUUUCAUUGUUGCUGAUGUUGUUGUUGCCUAUUCCAGCGGUAUUGAUGUACUUAUCUUCAGUUUGAUUGAAAGGACAGUGAGGUACCAUGUUGUGCUAUUUCCUGCUGUGUCGCAAAGUGAUUCGGUCAUACAUACACACACACCCCUUCUCCCUCAGAUUCUAUGCCCAUAUCGACUAUCACUAACUGUGGGCUAGAGUUCCCUGGGCUCUACCACAGGUUCCUGUUGGCCGGUCAUUCCAUGUACUCCGUGUGCAGAAGCCAGUCCCAAACCCCCAGUCCCUCCUGCUGUGGACUUGGCUCCUUUGGACCCAUCGGUUUUCCAAGGCUGGGAGUCUGUUUCUGUUCCGUGCACACGUUCAUUUGUGUCCUCUCUUUCGGUUCCACUUAGAAGUGGUAUCAUACGAUGUUUGUCUUUCCCUGUCCACCUUCACUUAGGAUGAUAAUUUCCAGGUCCAUCCUUGCUGCUGCAGCGUUCAUGAUUCCAUUCUCUUGUAUGAUUGUGUGAUGUCCCCCCGUACAUAUGAACCUCAUCCUCUUUAUCCAUGCCUCGGCCGAUGGACAUUUAGCUUGCUCCCUUGUCUUGGCUAUUGGAAAUGGUGCUUCAGUGGACAUUGGGGUGCAUGUAUGUUUUGAAGGGCCUUUCUUUCCUUUUGAUGAAGUCCAACUUUCUGUUCUUUCCUUCCCUUUUGGGAUAAUGUUUUUCUUGUCAUGUGGAAGACCCCUUUGCCAAGCCUGAGGACCCAGAGGUUUGCUCCAAUUGUUUUUUCUUAGGUGUGGUAAACGUUGCAUCGUUUGUAUUUAUACACAUUUUACAUUUGCACUGAAUGUUCCAUGAUGAGUUCAUUUUCGUAUCGGAUAAAAACCCUAUCCCUAUUCCAUUCUACUGCCCUUGAGCUUCCGUAUUAGAACAUCCCAGGUUGGUGUAUUGCUAUGGAUCUAUUUCUGCAUUCUCUAUCUGUACACUGAACUCUGUCUGCCUCUAUCCCGCCAGCAAUGCCAAGCUGCCCUCCAUAGAGCGUUCUCAUAAGCCGAAUCACCUCCCACUUUAAUGUGCUUUCUCGAAAUUAUGUUUGAUGUUCUGGCUCCUUUAUCUUUUCUUUAUCCAUUUUAGAAUAAUUUCAUCCAUGUGGGCCAAAAAAAAAAAAAAAAAAAAAAA